UACGGAGGGUGCAAACGUUGCUCGGAAUCAUUGGGCGUAAAGCGCACGUAGGCGGUCCGUUAUGUCGGGUGUGAAAGCCCUCGGCUUAACCGAGGAAGUGCAUUCGAAACUGGCGGACUUGAGUACCGGAGAGGGUCGCGGAAUUCCCGGUGUAGAGGUGAAAUUCGUAGAUAUCGAGAGGAACACCGGUGGCGAAGGCGGCUAUCUGGACAGUGACUGACGCUGAGACGCGAAAGCGUGGGGAGCAAACAGG
rnacentral:rRNA from 1 species